AACGCGAAGAACCUUACCUGGGUUUGAAAUGUAGUGGUAAGUCUCAGAGAUGAGAUCCCCUCUUCGGAGGCCGCUACAUAGGUGCUGCAUGGCUGUCGUCAGCUCGUGUCGUGAGAUGUUGGGUUAAGUCCCGCAACGAGCGCAACCCUUGUCCAUAGUUGCUAACGCGUAGUGGCGAGAACUCUAUGGAGACUGCCGGUGAUAAACCGGAGGAAGGUGGGGAUGACGUCAAGUCCUCAUGGCCUUUAUGUCCAGGGCUACACACGUGCUACAAUGGGCGGUACAAAGAGUCGCAAAGUCGCGAGACGGAGCUAAUCUCAAAAAGCCGCUCUCAGUUCGGAUUGCAGUCUGCAACUCGACUGCAUGAAGCUGGAAUCGCUAGUAAUCGCGGAUCAGAACGCCGCGGUGAAUACGUUCCCGGGCCUUGUACACACCGAUACUC
rnacentral:rRNA from 1 species